UGAAUACGAGAUGCUACGGCGUCGAAGCAGUGUAUGUCAGACUUCCAAGAAAAGCUCGCAAUGUCAUAAAUAAAGAAUGCCUGUACCAUAACCGACACAGGUGGGUAGGUAGAGUAUACUAAGGGGCGCGAGAUAACUCUCUCUAAGGAACUCGGCAAAAUAACUCCGUAACUUCGGGAGAAGGAGUGCCUUCUAUUAGAAGGUUGCAAUAACAAGAUCCAAGCAACUGUUUAUCAAAAACACAGGUCUCCGCUAAGUCGUAAGACGAUGUAUGGGGGCUGACGCCUGCCCAGUGCCAGAAGGUUAAAGAAGUUGGUUAGCUUUGGCGAAGCUGAUGACUGAAGCCCUGGUGAACGGCGGCCGUAACUAUAACGGUCCUAAGGUAGCGAAAUUCCUUGUCGGGUAAGUUCCGACCCGCACGAAAGGCGUAAUGAUUUGGAUACUGUCUCGGAGAGGGACUCGGUGAAAUAGACUUGUCUGUGAAGAUGCGGACUACCUGCACCAGGACAGAAAGACCCUAUGAAGCUUUACUGUAACUUGAAAUUGAAAUUGGACUUUAUUUGCGCAGCAUAGGUGGAAGGCGUUGAGAUUACUCUUGCGGGAGUACUGGAGCCAUCAGUGAGAUACCACUCCUAUAAUGUUAGAUUUCUAACUUUGGAUCAUGAUCUGGUCAAAGAACAGUUUCAGGCGGGCAGUUUGACUGGGGCGGUCGCCUCCCAAAUGGUAACGGAGGCGUACAAAGGUUUCCUCUGAACGGGUAGAAAUCGUAUCUAGAGUGUAAAGGCAUAAGGAAGCUUGACUGUGAGACCUACAAGUCGAGCAGGGACGAAAGUCGGUCUUAGUGAUCCGACGGUGCUGAGUGGAAAGGCCGUCACUCAACGGAUAAAAGUUACUCUAGGAUAACAGGCUGAUCUCCCCCAAGAGUUCACAUCGACGGGGAGGUUUGGCACCUCGAUGUCGGCUCAUCGCAUCCUGGGGCGGUAGUACGUCCCAAGGGUUGGGCUGUUCGCCCAUGAAAGCGGUACGCGAGCUGGGUUCAGAACGUCGUGAGACAGUUCGGUCCAUAUCCGGUGUAGGCGUUAGAAUAUUGAGAGGAGCCUUCUUUAGUACGAGAGGACCGAGAAGGACAUACCUCUGGUGUACCAGUUAUCGUGCCAACGGUAAACGCUGGGUAGCUAUGUAUGGAGAGGAUAACCGCUGAAAGCAUCUAAGUGGGAAGCCCACCUCAAGAUGAGUAUUCUC
rnacentral:rRNA from 1 species